AUUCAGCUGAUGAGUCCCAAAUAGGACGAAACGCCCGUCAAACUGGAU
rnacentral:hammerhead_ribozyme from 1 species